CGUCAAGUCAUCAUGGCCCUUACGUGUAGGGCUACACACGUGCUACAAUGGUGCGCACAGAGGGCUGCAAACCCGCGAGGGGGAGCUAAUCUCACAAAACGCAUCGUAGUCCGGAUCGGAGUCUGCAACUCGACUCCGUGAAGUCGGAAUCGCUAGUAAUCGUGGAUCAGCAUGCCACGGUGAAUACGUUCCCGGGCCUUG
rnacentral:rRNA from 1 species